UUAUUAUGUCAGGUCGGCAAGGAAUAAAAUUAAUUUUACCAGAAUUGGCACCAAGUGGACAAAGAGAAAUGCCAACAUUUCUCGAGAUGUGUUUGUGUUUAUGCAGCUGAUGAGGUAAAAGAACCUAGAGGCUGGCACCACCUCUAGGAAUUUCCGACCUUGUUCCAAAGCACAAGGAUGAGUUCCAUCUUCCCUCAGCGAGCUCUAUGUAGGUGGCAAGAAUUUUGUGCUGAGCUCCUAGCCGACCCUGCCAUAAAACAAACCCAAUACAAUCUUAUUCACGUAAAGAUUGUUUUGUUUAAUAAUAUUCGGGAGACGGAUGGCUCAUAAAUGGUGAAGUAAACAAUGAAGAUGAUGCUCCAAAAUGAUGAAAAUCAAUUAUCUAAGGACCGCGAAUUGGUAGUAACCAUAUUGUCUUAUUCUUAUCCGUAUGUAAGAUCAGGACUCCAAAGACUUAAAAUAGAUGAUGUUCAAGUAACCAUUAAGUUACUUGAAGUAUUUCUAGUAUUUAUCUUUUUAUUUAUUGACCUGUAUAAUGUAUAUAAUACGCUUGUUUGUGUGUUAAAACAGGAUUCUGCAUUUUGGAACAGUUAUUCAUAAUUUACCAAUU